UCCUACUAGACGUCUACACGCUUCCUUCGUUCUUCGUCCUAUAAAAAGCUGCCUCUUCCAUCCAAUCUCCCAAUUAUCCGCUGCUUCUCAAAUCAAUAACCGUUCAGAUUUUCCUAUAAAAUUCUCUCAAUAUUCUCAUUCGACAUUCGGUCGAGAGCUCUCAAAUUCGGGAUUUCUUUUCGAUCACAUUCAACUUCAUCGCAUUAAUCUGUUAUUGAAGCUUUCUGAAAGAACUUUUCCUCUUCAGUCGAUCAUCGAAUAUCAUCUCUCUCACAGCUCAGACUGC